rnacentral:rRNA from 1 species
UACGUAGGGUGCAAGCGUUAAUCGGAAUUACUGGGCGUAAAGCGUGCGCAGGCGGUGAUGUAAGACAGAUGUGAAAUCCCCGGGCUCAACCUGGGAACUGCAUUUGUGACUGCAUCGCUAGAGUACGGCAGAGGGGGAUGGAAUUCCGCGUGUAGCAGUGAAAUGCGUAGAGAUGCGGAGGAACACCGAUGGCGAAGGCAGCCCCCUGGGCCAAUACUGACGCUCAGGCACGAAAGCGUGGGGAGCAAACAGG